rnacentral:rRNA from 1 species
AACGAACGCUGGCGGCGCGCUUAACACAUGCAAGUCGAACGAGAAGCUGUAGCAAUACAGUUGUAAAGUGGGCAAACGGGUGAGUAAUGCGUGGGUAAUCUACCCUAGGGUGGGGGAAAUAACUCCUCGAAAGGGGGAGCUAAUGCCGACAUGUGCGCCACUCUCGCAAGGGAGUGAUGGAAAGCCGUACCGUGGGGUGCGGCGCCCAAGGAUGAGCUCACGUCCAUCAGCUUGUUGGCGGGGUAACGGCCCACCAAGGCUGCGACGGGUAGCUGGUCUGAGAGGACGACCAGCCACACUGGGCACU